CUUGUCCUCAGACUUUGAUGUAAUUUAGUAAUUAUAUUAAUUAUAUGAGUUAUUUUUCUCAUUUUACAAGCUCCUCCCUACGACUUGCAGGGUGCUCAGGAUGACAUCAAUAGUGAGCAAAACUUCCAGGGUGCUCAGGAUGACAUCACUAGUGACAAAAACUUGCAAGGUGCUCAGGAUGACAUCAGUACUAUGCAAAAAGAGUUUGAGAGAGACGAUGCACGAAAAUCAGACGUAACAGGAGGGUCUACGAUGAGAGGACGGAAGAAGAGAGACAGGAAAUCCACAUUUGCAAAUAAUGAGGAUUUUAUUUAUUUUGAUGAACCCAAAAAAACUAAAAGAGUCAAGAAAACUCCGAAAGACAUGAGUACUCCCAGAACGGGAACGGAUUAUGCUCCAGAUGAGAAGAUUGUUGACGAGGUCAUUGACUAUGUCAAUACAUCCCCCUCUUCGAAAGUGUUGGUACAAAUUGAUGAAAUACAUCUAUAUCGCGCUGAUCUUAGAUGCUUGACAGCACCAACCUUUCAAAGUACUAAGGACGGAUGGCUGCAAUGCAAGAUCUUGGAUGCAGCCAUAACAUGGGUACGCCACAUGCGCCCCAAUCCAGAUGUACGGGCCGACGGG